rnacentral:rRNA from 1 species
GGCCGCGGUAUCAUAACCGUGCGAAGGUAGCGUAAUCACUUGUCUUUUAAAUAAAGACCUGUAUGAAUGGCAAAACGAGAAUUCAACUGUCUCUCAACCCAAAUCAAUGAAACUGAUAUUCCCGUGCAGAAGCGGGGAUAUUUAUAUAAGACGAGAAGACCCUAUGGAGCUUUAAACGUAAUCUACCUAAUCUAUUAUUAUUAACCAAAAGACUAAAUAUUAAAUACUUAGAAAUAGCUUAAGUUUUUGGUUGGGGCGACCACGGGAUAUAAAUUAACUUCCGAGAUGAACAAUAAUUAGAACGACAGUUCAAAAUAAUAAAAUAUUUAACACAAUUGACCCAAUUUUUGAUCAACGAACCAAGUUACCCUAGGGAUAACAGCGCAAUCCUUUCUAAGAGUCCUUAUCGACGAAUGGGUUUACGACCUCGAUGUUGGAUCAGGACAUCCCAAUGGUGCAGAAGUUAUUAAA